UACAGAGCCUCCACAGAACCGCUAGAGAACCUGUAUAAAACAUCUAGGUGACCUCUAUUGAACCUCUAGAUAACCUCUAUAGAAAAUCUACAAAACAUGUAGAUAACCUGUAUAGAACAUCUAGAUAAUCUCUAUAGAACCUCCAGAGAACAUCUAUAGAUCCUCUAGAUAACCUCUGCAGAACCUUUAGAUAAUCUCUAGAGAACCUCUAGAUAACCUUUAGAUAACCUCCACAGAACCUCCUCAGUGAGGCAGCAGCUGAUCAGACUCUGACCUGACAAAUUGAUGAUACUUCCUGUCUGGUAGCAGAACGUUCCUUCUGGAGAACCCAGACUUCCAUCACAACACGUUGAGGGCAACAAACCAGCAACUGUCACCUUCCUCCACUGUUCCCUCUAAGCUGCGCGCGUGCGCAAUUGCGCACUGCUGACACGGUCUCCGCGCACAGAAAAUCUGCACUGCGCACAAAAAAAAAAUCCAACCUAAAUUGUAAAUAAAAUAAACAGGUAACAAUUCAUUCUGUGCUAUUUUUCAGUGUGAGUCAGUGAGUGACCGGUGACUGGCUGCUGCAGCCAAUGAUGCGAUUCACAUACGUAUUUACCAUAGACUGUAUAUAAUGGUAUUUACGCAGCUAACCAACGUCAGGCGUCCUUAUGUGCAGCCACCGUUGUUCUCAUAGAUAUGAAUGAGUAGAUAGGACACGCCCCUUUGAGCUGCGUGCUACAGCGAGGCUAAGCUAGUGGGGGCAAAGUUUCAGAGCAUUCUGUUGAUGUAGACGGCGUGAAAACGGAAACAACAAGUAUGCCGGCUCACUGUGCUGCAUACAGUUACACACUACGUCGUACGAUUGAGACAAGGAAACUUGGAAUGACUUUUCAUAGGUUUCCCAGAGACUAUGGGUUGAGGAGGAAUUGGAAGUUUGUCAGUUUAGACCUGGUGUCAUUCCAUCAGUGUUAAACUUCCCGGCUCAUCUUGGAAGAGUACGUGCCAGAAAGACCACGACCAAGCAGCCUUGAGAUCUUAGGCAGCGUCUCCCUGAGGUCCCUCUCUAUCUCCCCACACAUCCACCAACCACUGGAACACAUCUCCAAAGUUCUACUGGGCCAGCUCAGCUUCCCCUCAGAAGAAGUGGCGCCACCUGCCAGAUGAAGGAACCUUUUGAGAGGCAGCUGGCAUCGUGAUUGGACUGUACUUUGGUCUGUUCCAGUCCAGCUUCAGCUCCAGAGACGGCAGGCGGGACGAGUCAACGGAGGCCGGAUGGACGAAGGCAUGAAGCUGAGUACAAUCUAGAAAGAGACAUACAUUGUAGAAUUGUAGUAAUUGUGGGCUGACUGAUUUACUGAUUAUCAGUAUUUUAUUUUUUACUGAUUUACGGUAAUAAAUACAUUUAAAAAUGG